AUACGUAGGGUGCGAGCGUUGUCCGGAAUUACUGGGCGUAAAGAGCUCGUAGGUGGUUUGUCGCGUCGUCUGUGAAAUUCCGGGGCUUAACUCCGGGCGUGCAGGCGAUACGGGCAUAACUUGAGUACUGUAGGGGAGACUGGAAUUCCUGGGGUAGCGGUGAAAUGCGCAGAUAUCAGGAGGAACACCGGUGGCGAAGGCGGGUCUCUGGUAAGUAACUGACGCGGAGGAGCGAAAGCGUGGGGAGCAAACAGGAUUAGAUACCCUGGUAGUCCACGCCGUAAACGGUGGGCGCUAGGUGUAGGGGUCUUCCACGACUUCUGUGCCGUAGCUAACGCAUUAAGCGCCCCGCCUGGGGAGUACGGCCGCAAGGCUAAAACUCAAAGGAAUUGACGGGG
rnacentral:rRNA from 1 species